AGUUAGCACUCUGGGCACAGGCAUGGGUGGAGGCCUCAGCCUGUUCUCACUCCAGAGGAUGGGGCUGCCAUGUUAAGCAGCUCCACCAGAACAGGCCGUCAAUGUGUGUUUUUGGUGUGUGGAUAUGUGGGACAGAUUGUUAUCUAAAUUAAAUAAUUUAGUGUUCAUCCAACCAUCUUUCCAGAAUGAGAGCAGAAGAUGGAAAGGCUGGAAUGUGGCUCUUUGUCUCUAGGGACCAGUGCUCUUGUUGAAAGGACUCCCCAGAACCAGUUUCAAUCUUUCUAUGCUUUCACCACAGGCUGAGCAUAAACCCCACCUUAUCAAGUCAACCUUUAAACUGCUUAAUGCCACCUCCCUCUGCCCACCCCCACACCAUGCUGAUUAUAUAAGGAGAAUUGCCUGGAUUUUAAUCCAGCUGUAUUACUUGCUACCUGUGUGAGAACUGGAGCUUACUCUCUGGAAAGAGAUAUCGAGAAACAACCAGGUGAUUAUAAUGCAUGGUGGAAUGAGGUAGUAAGUGCUGAGAGAGGUGAACAUGCUAAAGAAAAUGCUGUUUAGGUUCCAAGAACGUGAGAACUACAGCCCCUUGGAAAAUAAGCAGAGUUGCAUGAUCAAGCUGACUUGAGGGUUCUGAACAGAAGCUGACCAGUCUGUGCACAUUGUAAAGAAGUUAAAAACCUGGAUUGAAUUGCAAAAUGUACUACUCAAGGAGUCCAAAGAAUAAAAUAUGAGCAGCUUGUGGGGGUAAAGC